AGAGUUUGAUCAUGGCUCAGAACGUACGCUGGCGGCACGCCUAACACAUGCAAGUCGAACGAAGUAGCAAUACUUAGUGGCAGACGGGUGAGUAACAUGUAGGUAUCUACCCUAUGGCCUGGAAUAACACGAGGAAACUUGUGCUAAUACCGGAUAAGUCUUUACGGAGAAAGCUUUAUGCACCAUUGGAUGAGCCUGCACUUGAUUAGUUUGUUGGUAGGGUAAUGGCCUACCAAGACUGUGAUCAAUAGCUGAUUUGAGAGGAUGAUCAGCCACAUUGGGACUGAGACACGGCCCAAACUCCUACGGGAGGCAGCAGUGGGGAAUCUUGCACAAUGGAGGAAACUCUGAUGCAGCGAUGCCGCGUGAGUGAAGAAGGCCCUUGGGUUGUAAAGCUCUUUCGUCGGGGAAGAAAAUGACUGUACCCGAAUAAGAAGGUCCGGCUAACUUCGUGCCAGCAGCCGCGGUAAUACGAAGGGACCUAGCGUAGUUCGGAAUUACUGGGCUUAAAGAGUUCGUAGGUGGUUGAAAUAGUUGGUGGUGAAAUCCCAGAGCUUAACUCUGGAACUGCCAUCAAAACUUUUCAGCUAGAGUUUGAUAGAGGAAAGCAGAAUUUCUAGUGUAGAGGUGAAAUUCGUAGAUAUUAGAAAGAAUACCAAUUGCGAAGGCAGCUUUCUGGAUCAUUACUGACACUGAGGAACGAAAGCAUGGGUAGCGAAGAGGAUUAGAUACCCUCGUAGUCCAUGCCGUAAACGAUGUGUGUUAGACGUUGGAAAUUUAUUUUCAGUGUCGCAGCGAAAGCGAUAAACACACCGCCUGGGGAGUACGACCGCAAGGUUAAAACUCAAAUGAAUGACGGGACCC
rnacentral:rRNA from 1 species